rnacentral:tRNA from 1 species
GGACUGAGCAUGGAGCCUCUCUUUGUUGACAACGAUUUCGGACGCGGGUUCGACUCCCGCCGCCUCCACCA